rnacentral:rRNA from 1 species
CCUACGGGGGGCAGCAGUGGGGAAUUUUCCGCAAUGGGCGAAAGCCUGACGGAGCAAGACCGCGUGGGGGAAGAAGGCUCUUGGGUUGUAAACUCCUUUUCUCUGGGAAGAACAAAAUGACGGUACCAGAGGAAUCAGCAUCGGCUAACUCCGUGCCAGCAGCCGCGGUAAGACGGAGGAUGCAAGCGUUAUCCGGAAUGAUUGGGCGUAAAGCGUCCGCAGGUGGCAGUUCAAGUCUGCUGUCAAAGACCGGGGCUCAACCUCGGAAAGGCAGUGGAAACUGAACAGCUAGAGUAUGGUAGGGGCAAAGGGAAUUCCUGGUGUAGCGGUGAAAUGCGUAGAGAUCAGGAAGAACAUCGGUGGCGAAGGCGCUUUGCUGGACCAUAACUGACACUCAGGGACGAAAGCUAGGGGAGCGAAUGGGAUUAGAUACCCCUGUAGUC